rnacentral:rRNA from 1 species
CUGCUAAUACCGCAUAAGCGCACAGUAUCGCAUGAUACAGUGUGAAAAACUACCGGUGGUACAAGAUGGACCCGCGUCUGAUUANCUAGUUGGUAAGGUAACGGCUUACCAAGGCGACGAUCAGUAGCCGACCUGAGAGGGUGACCGGCCACAUUGGGACUGAGACACGGCCCAAACUCCUACGGGAGGCAGCAUG